rfam:Cavia porcellus supercont2_38 genomic scaffold, whole genome shotgun sequence.
GGGGAUUUAGCUCAGCGGCAUAAGCACCUGCCUUGCAAGCACGCAGUUGUGGGUUCGAUUCCCAGUACCA